CGACAUUCAAAAGUUACCAUAUUCACAUGGCUUAUAUACAACAACAUCUUCAAAAUAUCAUCCACAUAAGUCUAGUCUAUACAUGCCAUACAAAUUCCAAAACAUAAUAGUACCAAAACGAUAGAUAGUGUGACGAGUUGCUGACGAUCCCCGAGCAAGUGGCUGGAGUCAACGAUCUAAAAACAGAGAAACAUAACAAACGGAGUAAGCUUCCACAAGUAUAGUAAGUUUUAAGCAAUACAAAUAAUUAAAUUAAAUUAUAAAUCGAUCAAUCAAAUUCUCAAGUGACAUUUCUUAGGUAUAUUGCCAUUUGGCCGAAUAUAUAUACAAACAUUUAAUGUAUAUUUAGCAUAUUAACUUCACUUGAAUCUGAAUUCAUAUAACAUAAGUAAAUCAAAUAUUUUCACAUAACUUCACAUUUUGGUCGAAUGUAUCAGGAUCAUAUACAUAUAGUCUUAAUACUUAUUCACAUAUACAUCAUAUUACAUACUUGGGAUUCAAUCCCCAAUAAAGCUCAUAUAAGUACAAGAUACAUACCUGGCCAACUUAAGGUAUUACACGAUUUCAAUUGUCGUUUUGUCAUGAAAUCUCAAAAUUUUAGAUUUAUAUCAAAUAACCGGCAAUUAGCCUGCUAGGUUUAAAACCCGAAUUCAUCACCGGCACAAAGCCUCUAGACUUUAAGUCUGAACUCAUUCACCGACAUUACGCCUGCUAGGCUCGAAGCACGAUAUUAAUUCACCAGCAUUAUAGCCUGCUAGGCUCGAAGCCUGAUAUUAACUCACCGGUAUUAUAGCCUGCUAGGCUCGAAGGCUCGAAUAGUACCGUACGAUAAUCAAAUCAACAAGUUUCAUAUAACAUAAUCAUAUCAAUUAGGUACUAGCAUCAUGUGAACAUAUAUAAUUAUACAUCUCAAACACUUUUCUCUCAUCUCAUUUUCACACUUAGCAUUCGAUAGCUUAUGCAUAACAUUUCGCUCACAUUCAUUUCAAACUUAUCAUUCGAUUAUAAAAGCACAUUGCAUAUUUAUCAACAUGUUAUACUUGCCAUUAGGCCAUAUAAGCAUGAUACAAUACACCAUCAUUUCAUCUUUAACAUUCGGCUAAAUCCAUACCUUACAAGGAGUACCUAAUUCACAUAAUAUAUCAGAUUAUAAUCAAUUGUUAUUUACGUUUGAUUACUUAAAACUUACCUCAGAUGUUAUCGAACGAUUACAACGGCUAUUCGAUUACUUUCUCCUUUCCCCUAUCCAACUUUGGUCCUCUAAGUUCUUGAGCUAAAUCAAACAAAUUUACUUCUCAAUCAAACACAUACAUACGGCAACCAUAUACAUUUCAAAAACCAAUUCAUUCGUAUCAUUUGUCCACUUAAGUCUAUCACCAUUUCAUUUUCAAAUUUAUGUACUUUGUAAGUCACAUUCGAACACAUUCGGUACUAUGCAUCUUUUCAAAUAUUUCUUUUAACAUUAAACUCAACUUAUAACUUUCUUCUAAUUAAAAACAUUCAACACCAACUAGUCAUGCUUACAUGUCAUAGCCGAAUAUCAUUUUAGACAUUUGAGAAAUCAUUUCUCAACUCAACUUAUAAUUGUGAAUCUCAUUCAAAACAUCCACACCAAUUUAUUAUACAAUUAACCAUAGCCAAAUACUAAAUCAAAUAGAUAUUUGUUCACAUUUCCAUAACACAUAUUUAUCAACUAGUCCAUAUAUUAGCUUUUAGUCAUUAGAGUGACCUAUUUAACUUUCAAGCAUUCAUUUCUAAUUUUAAUUAAACGAUGCCGAAUGCCAUUAACUACUAAUGCCACACACACAUAUGCAUAAAAUUCAUCCAUACAUAACCUAUAGCUCAUUCGGCCAUUCAUCACUCAAACCAAUCAAAGCUUCAUAUCAAACUUCCUUGGCCGAGUACACAUAUAAGCACAUAAUGCACAUAUAUGCUCAUUUGUCUAGCUCAACUUCACCUAUCUACCAUUACUCAUAAAAAGAACAUGAAACAACCAUUUCCUUCAAUUCAAUUUAUGACCGAAUGCUCACAACACAAUAAUUUUCAAAAUUUAAACAUGGGUUAACUAAGCAAUGCUUUGACCAUGCUAAUUUCGCAAGAAUAUCAAGAAAAUACAUGGAACAUACCUUUGAAUCAUGCUAAGUAAAUGACAGAAUGUGCUUGAGCAUUUUCCUCUAUUUUUCUCUUAAUUUCGGCUAUGAAGAACAAAGAUGAACAAGUUUUGUCCUUUUCCUCAUUUUGUUAUUUUAUUUAUCUUUAUUUUAUAAUAUAAAGCCAUUAAAUAUUUUAAUGCUAAUUUAAAAUGCAUAUAUUGUUUAUCAUUAUCAUUAUGGCCAGCCACUACAAAUUAAAGUGGAAAAUUUGACAUGCAAAUCCACUUAUUUUAAACCAUAAAAUAUUUGGCCACUACAAAUUAACCUAUCACAUUUUCAAAAUUUCUCACAUAAGUCCUAUUUAAUAAUUUCACAUACAAAUGACAAAAUCAAAGUAUGAAAUUUUCAUACAUACACUUUCACAUAUAAUAAGCAUAGAAUAUAACAUUUAAUUAUUUUUUUGUGAUUCGGUUUUGUGAUCCCGAAACCACUUUUUGACUAGGAUCAAAUUAGGGCUGUCACAUCAUUGCCCUCUUCUUAUGUCAUUGGAUAAGAAAAAUAAAACGGCUCACAUAUCCUCGUUUCGGUUUGAAGCAUCAUGGUUAUUAGAAGACUCCUUUAAGAAGAUGAUUAUAGAGUCUUGGUAGAAUUUAACAGGGCUAUUAACAGAUAAGUUGGAGGGGUUAAAACAGAGAAUUCUUCUAUGGGCAAACCAAAUAAAUAAUGCAAGAAGAGGUAUCAAGUAGAAUAUAAAAAACAAUGGGAAUGCUUGCUGGAUGAGGAUAUAAGUGAAGAAAACUUGGCUAAAAUCAUUGAUACGAAAAUUUCUCUCAAUCUAGAAAUUGACAAAGAUAAAGCUUACUGGAAGCAAAGUGCACGUGUUAAUUGGCGGAGAUUAGGAGAUAGAAACACAACAUUCUUUCACAAAUGGGCCACACAACGACAUAAAACUAAUGAUAUUCGUAGUUUGCAAGAUCAUAAUGGGGGGAACAUGGAUGAUGAAGAUGGGAUACAAGGAUUAUAAAGAAUUAUUUUUAGGAUUUGUUUGCGUCUUUAGGAAUAAGUUAUACGGAGAUGAGUUUAUAGGGAGUGCAGAGAUGUAUAACUGAAGAUAUGAAUGCACAACUUACAGUAGAAUAUACGGCUGAAGAAAUAUGGGCAGCAUUAAAGGGAAUAGGUCCUACAAAAGCCCUCGGUACCGAUGGACUUCCAGUAAUUUUCUUUCAAAAAUGUUGGAACAUAGUUGGGACAGAGGUAACCUCUUUUUGUUUGGAGAUUUUAAAUCAGAGGAAAGAUUUAGAGAGUAUUAAUGGUACGAAUAUUGUUUUAAUUCCUAAAACCUCACAGCCCAUUGAUAUGAAGAACUUUAGGCCUAUUGGCCUGUGCAAUGUCCUCUACAAGAUAAUAGCUAAAGUAGUGGCUAAUAGAUUUUAAAAUGUCCUAAAAGUUUACAUUGAUAAAGCUCAAAGUGCAUUCGUUCCAGGCUGACUUAUUACGGAUAAUGUGCUUGUGGCUUAUGAGAUCAUGCAUACGUUGAAGAAUAAAAGAGUAGGGAAAAAAAGGGCAUGUGGCACUUAAACUGGCCAUGAGCAAAGCCUAUGAUAGGGUCGAAUGGGAAUUUCUUAGGGUUAUGAUGGAGAGAAUGGGUUUUGCACAAUCUUGGGUGGCUUUCAUAAUGAAGUGUAUUUCGACGGUCUCCUAUUCAGUUCUUUUAAAUAGGAAAAAGGGAGAAGUUUUCAAACCAAUAAGAGGACUCCGACAAGGGUACCCCCUCAGUCCCUAUUUAUUUCUAAUUUACAGUGAAGGCAUGUCCUCAAUUAUACACCCAGCUCUAAUAAGAAAGGAAAUCAAAGGAUUGAAAGCUAGCAGACGAGGACCUAAGAUCUCACACAUUCUCUUUGCAGACGACUGCAUCAUUUUUGGUGAGGCAAUAUUUUUAGGAGCUUGAUAGAUCAAGAAUAUUUUUGCAGAAUAUGAAUCCUACUCAGAUUAGUGUGUGAACUUUGCAAAGUCUAUAAUAUUCUUUAGCACGAAUACUACAGAAACAAAUAAAUUGAUAGUUACGGGCUUGCUAGGCAUGAGGAGAUCAACUGAUAUUGAGAAAUACCUAAGUCUCCCUAAUUUGAUAGGGAAGAAAAAGAAAACUUCUUUCCAAAAUUUAAAGGAUAGGAUGAAAAGAAAAAUUGAUGGAUAGAGUUCUAGGUUCUUGUUACAAAGUGGAAAAGAGGUUUUUAUUAAAUUAGUUUUGCAAGUGAUUCCAACUUAUUCUAUGAUGUGUUUUCUUUUGCCAAAAACUUUAUGUGAGGAAAUGGAAUCAAUUAUUGCAAGGUACUGGUGGCAGAAGGGUCAUGGACGAAAAGGAAUACAUUGGUGCAGUUGGAAGAAUAUUUGUGAAUUAAAAUAUGAAGGAGGAUUGAGUUUCCAGGAUUUGGCCAAGUUUAACGUGGCUCUACUUGCUAAGCAAGGUUGGCGGUUAGUUGAGCAUCCAGAUUCUUUAGUAGCACAGGUUUUAAAAGCAAAGUACUACCCGACCACUAAUUUUCUACAAGUAGGGCUAGGAUGUAGACCUUUAUACAUGUGGAAAAGUAUUUGGGCAGCAAAAGGUCUUAUUAAAGAAGGUUUGGGGUGGAGAGUUGGCACUAGGGAAAAAUCUUAAUUAAUGAGGAUGCGUGGCUCCUUCGGGCAGCUAAUUACAGAAUUUGUUAUCCUAUUCUUAAUACUGAUAUUACUACUGUCAUAUCAUUAAUUGUUUGUAAUAAUAGGAGGUGGAAGGAAGAACUGAUUCGCAAUACCUUUAAGGCAAACAAUUCAGACAGAAUCUUAUGAAUCCCACUAGCGUUAGACGAGCAUACUGAUAUGGUCAUCUGGUGUGCAGAGCGCUCGGGUAAGUUCACAAUUUGUAGUGCUUAUAGACUAUUACAGACCUAAGAUCAUACAUCAGACUCUACUGCUACACAAAAUACAACCAAACUAUUUUACAAACAACUCUGAACACUCCAAAUACCAAAUAAAAUUAAAAUUAUGCUAUGGAGGAUAACACGAAACUAUUCCCAUGAUGGGCAACUUGUUUCAGUGAAGAGUGGUCCGAGAUUAUAAGUGCCCUAGAUAUAAAGCUUGCUCUGAGAAUCUAUGGUCUACAUUCGUUGGGUGUCUUAUAGCAAUAGAGUUAUGGAGAAGAUUAGAUUUUGAAUGGAUAAAUCAAGGUGAACCCAGUGGAUGGUUUGAUUGGAUUACAUGGAUUUUUAGUAAAUAUGGAGAAACCCAGCAUCGCGUUUUUGUCUGUGGAAUGUGGGUACUAUGGCUUGACAGAAACAGAAAUUUACAUGAAGAGAAGUCAUAUAAAGGGGAAGAUGCAACAAAUCAUGUUAAAUAUUAUAUUGGCGAAAUUGAUGGAUUGAAUGGGAGACAACCUAAAAUUACCCAGGAAGUUGAAAACUGGAAAGCCUCUGAGAAAUAAAAAAUCAAAAUCAAUUUUGAUGCCUCGUUUGAUAGUAAAAAUAACAUAUCAGCAUCUGGGAUAGUGGCGAGAACUGAAAAUUGUAACAUCCCGAAUUAGGGCCUAGUCGGAACAGUGGUUUUGAAACCACAAAUCUAAAGUAGAAAUAAUUAUUUUAUGAUUAUUAUAAGGUCUAUGAUAUGUUUACAUUCUUGUGUGAAAAUUUCAUGAAGAAAUUUUGUCUAAGGUGCUCAAUUAGACUUUAAGGACUAAAUUGAAUAAAUUGUAAAAUAUGAGUUCUAGAAGUUUUCAGUAUGAAAUUGAAUUGGAGUUUUAAUUAGAGGGUCUUAAAUAGCAAUUUGACUCAGUUCUAAAAUUUUGGACAAAAAUGGACUUGAAUAGAUAAAAUUUUAAAGAAAGGCUAAAAGGGCAUUUUGGUCAUUUGGUCAUUAAAUGGACUAAUGUCUAAAUAAAUAUGGGAAUGUGUUGAAUUGGAUGUACAUUGUAUGGUUAGCUAUGCAUAUUGAGAUACUUGAUGAAAAUAGAAAAUCCUGGUUGAAUAAAAAGGGGAAUCCGAUGGAUAAACCAUGGCUUACAUGACUUGAGAUCCUGCAUGUAUUGCAGAAAAGGAUUUAGCCCGGACGGGUAAUCCGUUGAUCUCAAAUAUAGAAAAUGAUCUAGCCUGGACGGGUGUUCCUUGAGUGAUCGAGCCUCCCGAAGAAUAUGUGUGCAUUAAGAAUUUAGCCUGGACGGGUAAUCUGAUUAGGAUCUGAAUUUAGCCUGGACUGGUAAUUCAGAUCCGAUCUCAUUUGGGUAUAUGUCGUUGUAGGGUAUUUAGCCUGGACUGGUAAUCUCGACAAUACUCUAUGAGUUUAUAUUACUGGGGAUUUAGCCUGGAUUGGUAAUCUCGCCGUAAGAUGUAAGGUUUGCGGGAGUGCGUAUUUGAAAUGAUCACUUGUAUGACUUGACGGUAAAUGGAUUAUCCAUCGAGAUUUUUGAGAAAUUCAACGGGUAUUAUAAUGAAUAAUGCGAUGAAAGUCCCGAGAUGGGCAUGGUGAUAAAGGUAAAGUUAAUUGAUAUGCUACGGAUAUGUACAGGUACGUACAUUAUACUCAUAAGUGAUGCCUUAUUGAAAUGUGAUAAAUGAUGAGUAAGCAAAUUCAUGCAUAUGUAUGCGUAUACAUGAUAAACAAGUAAAAAGGUUUGAAAGAUGAACCAUCCUUAUGCUUAUGAUUAUGGAUUGUGUUGUAAUAUCAUGUUAAUUUACAUUGUGUAAUGAGAUAUGGGUUUCAUGAAAUGAUGAGUUCAUGAUCAAUAAGCUUAUAAUAGUUACUAUGAAUUUGCACUGAAACAGUUUUGGACAGCAAUAAUAGUCCAACUUUGAAAAUCCACCAAAAAUAAUGGAAAUUGAGUUAGAGACUGAAUCAAAUAUGAAAUUAAAGCUUAUUGGGUCUAGUUUCAGUUAAAAGGAAUGGUGCUAGUAAAGGAAUCUCAUAUGAUGAGAUAUUUGAAUUCUUGUGAGACAGUGUCAGAAUGAGUUCGAAAUCCCCUGUUUUGACUUGGGAAAAUUACUAGAAAUUGUACAAAAAUAAUUAUGAGUUAGAAUCAUAUUAAUGAAAUCCUUAAUGAGUAUAAUUUCAGUAUAAAGAUACGGAAACAUUAUCCGAGUCUCGUACUAUGCGAUAAAUAAAUUUUAGUGAAGAAAGGUAGAAGCUGUCAAACAGUGAAACAUGAGAGAAUUUGAAUAAUAAACUGUACUUAUUGGCUAGACAAAAAAUUCUGGAAAUUUUAUUGUAAGGAGAUAAAUGAGUCUAGUUUCAGAAAAAAUUAAUGAAUCUUAAUUUGGAGUUCUGUAACUCUAGAUAUAAAUAAAUUAAUAACUACGACUCGAGAAAACAGCUUAACCAGAAUAUGAGUAAAAGUGUCAUUAUGGUUGAUUGCCUAAGGAAACAUGUUGUUAUAAUGCUUAUUAUUUUCAUAUGGACUUACUAAGCUUUAGGCUUACUCCCUCCUUUCCAUUUCCUUAGUGUUCUCAGGUUAGCUUGGGGUUGGAGAUCGUCGGAGGCAGCAUCAAACUAUCAAGUUAUCAACUCUAGAGUAUUGUCAUACGUGUAUUAAACACUUUCAAGUGAGUGGCAUGUAUAAGGAUUAGGUUUUACAUUAGAUGUUGUUAUGAUUAGCCAAAUGUACCAGCUUAUAUUGAUCUAUUGUAUAUAGCCAUGAGAUGUGGCUUAUUAUGGUUAUGGCUUGUAAGUCUAAUUAUUCGUGCUAUGGGUUAAUGCAUGUCGUGUGAUUAUAAUUGGUUGCUAUGAAUAAUUAGUAUAACACAUGUAUAUGAUGAAUGUCCUAGAACCAUUCGAGGUGAUCACGGCCAUGGAAUGAAUAUAUGGCCUGGUAGUUAGUUGAAAAUGAUUAAACAUGGACAAUUGUAGAAUGUGUAGAGAUUAAAUGCUGGGUAAUAAACACAUGUAAGACAAUAUGCAAUUUAUUUAUUUGAAUCUUUCUCAAGGUCGAUUAACAAUUAAAUUGAUGCUAUAAGUUAGGUCCAUGAUGUGUAAAGUAUGGGAAAGAAUUAAGGACAACAUAAGGCUUCGAAAAUAGCCUAAGUGUUGGCCAUACGGGCAGAGAACGGCCAUGUUUCUCAGCCAUGUGGAGGACAUGGUCUAGCACACGGGCGUAUGGCUUGACCGUGUGGAUCAAUUUGUUUGGCUAACAUUAUAAAUAGAGAGUUACACUGGCCGAGGAUAUGAGCGUAUUCCAAGCCACACAGGCGUGUGUGACCACACGGCCCAACCCACACGGGCAUGUGACUCUCCAAAGCAAGAAAAUUGGUUAAGUUGUCAAAAGUUUGUCGAAAGUUCUCAGUUCAGUCCGAACCACCCCAAUGCAUGUUACAGGCUUCGAAGGCCUAUUUAAGGGACGAUAUGCAUGUGUUUAAGAUGUUUUAAUUUUGGGCAAAAAUUUUGUGACCUGAUUUUGCAUGUUGUGAAUGUUUAAGUCUGGUAACGCCUCGAACCCUGUCUCGGCAUUGAAUACGGGUAAGGAGUGUUACAAAAAUGAGGAGGUUGAAAUUUCUAAAUGUUACCUUCAUAUAACGGUAGGCACGGCCUUUGACGCAGAAGCGAUUGCCUGCUACGAAGCUGCUCUCACAAGAUUAAAGAUAGGAUACACAAAGGUUGUUAUUGAGAACGACUCCAAGUCCAUCAUCAACAAAUGCAUGACACAAUCGGUGGACAAAUCACAAGUUAGUGCGCAUAUUCGAAAUAUUCGAAGAGAAAAAAGUAAGUUCUAGACCAUUACAUUUCAUUAUGUUCCAAGAUCGGCUAAUCACUUAGCCAACACCAUUGCUACAACAAGUUUGAAGGAAAUGGAGACGAUUUACCUGCUUGGAGAGGUCCCUUGCUACACCAAUAGACAGUGGGAACUGGAUCACCCACGGGAACCUAAUUGAAACGAAGAAGAGGAAAACAGGGAAUGGGGUAUUUGAGAGCGACCCUAAUCAAAACUGUCAGGCCUCAUCUCCAAUGAAAAUGAAAAGUUAUCCGUGUAAAAGGCAAAGUUGGAGACAGGUCAUUCAAAAUGGAUGAGGAUUUUAAGUUUAUUUAUUGUUUUAAUUAGUUUUGGUCUUUUUGCUUCUACUUUUAGCCGUCGCUUUGUUUCUUUUUAGUCUGAUGAUUAGACUAGUGCUUUUC
rnacentral:lncRNA from 1 species